AAAUAAAACAGACACGACUGGAUGUGAAACAGUCAUUUGGACCAUGAAGUGACCUUGGAAAAGGAAGCCAGGACUGGUGUCCAUAUAAGAAGAUAGCCCUGUGAAGACACAGACUCAGAGAGAAUUCUAAUAUGGAGAUGGAAACAAAAUCUGUAGUCAUGCUGCUCCAAGCUAAGGAAUACCUGGGGCUACCAGAAGCUCGAAGAAGCAGGAGAAGUUCCUCCCUAGAGGCUUCAGAGAACAUGACAUCUGACACAUUGAUUUCAGUUGGCUGACCUUCAAAGCGAUGAGGUGAAUUUCUGUUGUUUUAAGCCACCCAGAGACAGCCCUAAGAAAUUAAUGCACAUGCUAAUACUAGUUUUCUCUAAGUUUCAUUGAGAAUAUUGAAAAAUAUAUAUUUAAAUAUCUGGAUCUUAUUGAGAAUACAAAGAAGACUUUCAUACGUUGGUAUUUCUGAAUCUUCAUUUAUAAAGUGUUAAAUAACUUAUGCCCAAAAGAAAAAAUCGGUCAGAAAUUACCUCAUAUCAGUAAGUUCUAUAGUAAAGGAAUAAAUGCAUCUAAGAAUGACACAUGAAA